CCUCUAUCUGAUUGGCUAGUGCCCUUGUUUGGUUCAGUGCUGUUGCCCUAGCAUUCUAGUUGCAUCGACUUUAUAUUUGCUGAUAACGUGAAUGCCUUUUGUGCUAAUUUCCUUUUUUUUUAUUUGUCACGCAAAAGGUUUGUGCGUCUUUGUAUUAAGACAGAAAUAGUUUGAUUACAAGGCCAGGCAUUACAUGAUUUGCAAUAGAGCUUUAGCCCGCCCCGGGCAGAGACUCACUAGUUUCCUGAUUUUUAGUGUCUUUACAUUACUGCAUUAUAUGUGUGCCACAGUGAUGGGUUUGAAGAGCAUGAGCCAUUCAUGAUUUCUUUGUUUUGACCUCAGUGCUCUGUUUAUUAACUUCUUAAAUAAAUCCAUAUUGAAAUUGAAAAAAACAUGCUACGAAUUUGUUUAUACCUGGUUCAUUUAUUUAUGUAUACAUGAUGUAAUUGAGCUUAUAAUCAUCUAUAUUGUGUAACAUGACUGAAGUACCAAUAAUGGGAUAGCACCUUGUUAGAGUGAAAUUGAGACUAUACAUUGUAUAUGAAAAAUAUUAAGUCACAAAUAAAUUACUUGAAAGCUAUAUUUGAUGAAGACAAGAACCAACUUAAUUAUAAACACAUAACAUAAUAUGAGCAACAAAGAACUAUUCUAGUUUCUUUUCAUGCCCUACACUGCCCCCUUCCUUUUUUUUUGUGACCUGUGCCUUUAAGGGGCUAGGCUGUGAUGGGGUUAAUUUAAGAGCUCACCACUUGUAUCGUUGGCAGUUCAUGAUUUGCCACCCUGGCUCACUUUCAUUGCAUAGAUGAUCCCACAUGUUAGUGGGAUGGGGAUGGGGUGCCAAAUCCUGAACCAGCCAAUCUUAAGAGUGUUCAUGGAACAACCAUUAAAAAUAUUGGCUCAAUGAGGUUGCAUUGCCCCACACUCUCCAUGGCAUCUUUGCCAAUUCCAUGGAAGGGAAAGGAUGGGAAGGUUAGUAAUAUGGGUCUAUAGGACAGGCCUUGAUAUACACUUAACAAUAUGCAACUCUCCUCCGUGUUCGAGAAAGGGUAACUAGUGACACAAUUUAGCUUCAUUAAUACAUAUGGUGCUUAACAUUUUACCUUUUGUACAAAUUGACUUGUAGUUGGAGCAGCGAAGAGAUGGAUGAGUGGGAAAAAAAUCCAUCCUUCAACCUCCACUCAGUUGGCCAAUUCAUUAUCAAGAGUGAAUAUGUGUUAUAGUGUUCUACAAUGCAGUCUGGUUGAUCAACUUCUGAAGCAGAUAACAACAAGAAACACUUGGGUUGGGGUCCAGAGGACCUAUGCAAGUUUAGAAUCAUUUUUUUGGUGGGGGUGGGGAUGGGGGUAGUUGAUGCAAACUAGUGGGGUAAAGGGGUUUGCUUGGCUGUGACUUCAUAUGUGCUUAUACUAUCUAUUGUCUAAUUGCUUUCACUAGUGGCUCUUUCGAUUUAGUCCAAAUUUGCUAGCAGUGUCAGGUUUGCACCAAGUACUUUUAUGUUUAUAAUGUGGGUUGGAGGUUUUGAGUAAUUAUUAUUGCUAUAUAUUUU